rnacentral:lncRNA from 1 species
AAAGACGAAAGACUUUUUAAUUUAUUUAUUUUAUUUGUUUGGUCAGCUCUAAGGGAACUGAUAAAAUCACAAGGAAGAAAGAAAAGUAAACAAUUACAACAGAGUGAUGAGUGCACUGGUUGGGGAACUGAAGAUCGUUCAGCACACCAGGUGGUGGGUGCAUGUGAGAGGAAAUGGCCACUGAGGAUACGGGACAAGUAGGCAGGGGCCCCAUCUUAUGGGGUGAUACUAAGAUUCUCCUCCUCGUCCUCCACCUUCUCCGUAAACGUGGAACCAAAUUGGAUCCACUACGUAUAGACAGCAAGCCUCAAGCAGCCCACGGCCCCGGGACAGCUUCAGAGAGACCUGGGCAAGUCAUGCUACCUUCCUUGUCUUCUAGUUUUUGCAUAUAA